UAGUCCACGCUGUAAACGAUGAUCACUCGAUAUUGGCAACACACAGUCAGUGUCUAAGAGAAAUUGAUAAGUGAUCCACCUGGGGAGUACGAUCGCAAGGUUGAAACUCAAAGGAAUUGACGGGGGCCCGCACAAGCGGUGGAGCAUGUGGUUUAAUUCGAUGAUACGCGAGGAACCUUACCAGGGCUUAAAUGCAGAACGACCGCUUUCGAAAGAGAGCUUUCUUCGGACGGUUUGCAAGGUGCUGCAUGGUUGUCGUCAGCUCGUGCCGUGAGGUGUCGGGUUAAGUCCCAUAACGAGCGCAACCCCUAUUUCUAGUUGCUAGCAGGUAAUGCUGAGGACUCUAGAGAAACUGCCGGCGUAAGCCGAGAGGAAGGUGGGGGAUGACGUCAAAUCAUCACGGGCCCUUACGUCCUGGGGCCACACACGUGCUACAAUGGGUCGGUACAGAGGGCAGCGACUGCGCGAGCAGAGCGAAUCUCCAAAGCCGGGU
rnacentral:rRNA from 1 species